rnacentral:rRNA from 1 species
GGCUCAGGCUACAUCACCCUGAAUGCCCCAGAUAUUGUCAGAUCUCGGAAGCUAAGGUGGAGUGAGCCUGGCUAAUACUUGGAUGUAGAAUAAGGGAACACCAGGUGUUGUAGGCU